GUGGCUAUGGUGUAGAGGUAACACAGCAGCUUGUGGCGCUGUUAUCGAGGGUUCAAUUCCCUCUAGCCACCCA
rnacentral:tRNA from 1 species